rnacentral:rRNA from 1 species
ACGCUCGACACCUACGGGAGGCAGCAGUGGGGAAUAUUGCACAAUGGGGGAAACCCUGAUGCAGCAACGCCGCGUGAAGGAAGACGGUUUUCGGAUUGUAAACUUCUGUUCUUAGUGAAGAUAGUGACGGUAGCUAAGGAGCAAGCCACGGCUAACUACGUGCUAGCAGCCGCGGUAAUCUGGAGCGGGCUGGCAAGGC